rnacentral:lncRNA from 1 species
UCGAUGACUAUAUCUUAAAUUUCUGGAAGCUAGCGUGAUAUGUUAAUCCUGAGUAUAUGCUUUUGGCUGUGUAUUGACCCUGUGGAUUUGUCUCUCUAAGAAAAGAAGCUGAGCGCCUUACCCGGUGCAGCCCUGCACCUCUCUCUCCCUUUCCAGAGCCAUCUGGAAGGGAAUUCACACUGUUUAGCAUCCUCCUCAACACACAUCUCCUAUUGCCGCUGCCACCACCCGCCGCCGCUGCCGCCACCACCACCACCUCCGCCACUGCCAUCGCUGCCACCACCAGUGCUUUCCCCGACCCCCACCCCCUGCAACCUUCCUAGGAGUGAAGACACGGAGUCCCUACCAAUCCUCUCAUUGUAGGGAACAAGGAAAGCCAAUGUUUCUUCUGUAUAGAUUGAUUCUCUUCCACCUCUCCAUCCCUCCCUGUUCCUGCGCCCUCAGGCUCUGUGUCUGCCUCUCUUUCAUCACUGUGCGAGAGGCCCAUGUGAAAUCUCUCGUUAUUCUGUGAGUUUUAUAAAGAUGUACACUGUGCUGAACCCCUGCCCAUCCUUGGUAACCCCUAGCGCAAUAACCCCCCUGAGUGGUGAGUUCUCCCUCCCUGCAAGGAGGGGGGUGCUCCUUCUGAAGAAGCCAGCCCCCCUCCUUGCCCCUGCUCCCACAGGACCAAGUUGUUUAAUGGGCCACAGAUGCAGCCAGUGGGGAACCCUGUCCCCCACGACCACUGCCAGCCAGAGCGCUUGCGUGGUCUUCCUCUUCUCCCAACUUCUUGAUCCUAUACCUUCACCACUCAGGCCCUGCCUGUGUCAUUCCACUGCCAUCAUUCACCUCUCCCUCAGCCUCAUAGAGAGGGAACAUUUUC